GUGAACGCUGGCGGUAGGCCUAACACAUGCAAGUCGAACGGCAGCACAGUAAGAGCUUGCUCUUACGGGUGGCGAGUGGCGGACGGGUGAGGAAUACAUCGGAAUCUACUUUUUCGUGGGGGAUAACGUAGGGAAACUUACGCUAAUACCGCAUACGACCUACGGGUGAAAGCAGGGGAUCUUCGGACCUUGCGCGAUUGAAUGAGCCGAUGUCGGAUUAGCUAGUUGGCGGGGUAAAGGCCCACCAAGGCGACGAUCCGUAGCUGGUCUGAGAGGAUGAUCAGCCACACGGGAACUGAGACACAGUCCAGACUCCUACGGGAGGCAGCAGUGGGGAAUAUUGGACGAUGGGCGCAAGCCUGAUACAGCAAUACCGCGUGGGUGAAGAAGGCCUUCGGGUUGUAAAGCCCUUUUGUUGGGAAAGAAAAGCAGCAGGUUAAUACCCCGCUGUUCUGACGGUACCCAAAGAAUAAGCACCGGCUAACUUCGUG
rnacentral:rRNA from 1 species